rnacentral:rRNA from 1 species
UACGUAGGGGCAAGCGUUAUCUGGAUUUACUGGGUGUAAAGGGAGCGUAGACGGUAUGGUAAGUCAGAUGUGAAAGCCCGGGGCUCAACCCCGGGACUGCAUUUGAAACUAUCAAACUGGAGUGCAGGAGAGGUAAGUUGAAUUCCUAGUGUAGCGGUGAAAUGCGUAGAUAUUAGGAGGAACACCAGUGGCGAAGGCGGCUUACUGGACUGUAUCUGACGUUGAGGCUCGAAAGCGUGGGGAGCAAACAGGAUUAGAUACCCUGGUAGUCCCU